GAGAGAGAGAGAGAGAGAGAGAGAGAGAGAGAGAGGCUGUUGGCUUUGGGGGCCAAAGCCUUGGUGGGGAAUUGGUCUAGAAGGAAAGGAAAACUUCUUUCCCAUGAGACAGGAGGGACAGGAGAGGGCAGUUCUUAGAUUAGAGGAAGUGGGCAAGGAAUUAACAAGGCUUCCAUUCAACAAUUUCUAUUUUCUCCAUGAAAUAGGAGGCCAGAGGUUUAUUGAAGGACAGUGAAGAGGAAAAACCAUGACUGAAUGGGUCUGAAUCAUUCGUAUGAUUCCCUCAGGACUUGUGAGGGAAUUUCCAGUCCAGCUAGAAGUUGUAACACCUACUGCAAUGGCACAGGCUGCCGACAGGGCAGAUGAGCCCCCCUGCAUAUGGAUAAGUGGAGGUUAACACUCCCCCCGGCUGUCGCUGUUGGGAGAGGAAAGAUGACAGAGUACAUACACCAAAGAGAGUACAUAUCACAGGACAAAGGAGCCCCAGAAAAGCCCAAAGAUAGCCAGCUUCCUGGUUUAGAAGGGAAACUUUUUAUCUUUGCAAAUAGACUCCAAGUUCAGGUUUGAAUGUCCUGAGUCAUAGAAGCCCCAGCUCUACACUAACCAGCACCCUGCUGAAUCCUACAGCUCGAAAGAGGAAGAUGAUGUGAACGACAAGUCCUAAUGUGGUCCGUAAUUACCAGCCGGCUUUCGGAAACUGGUGGGAGGGCAGAAUGGAGUUCUUUGGGCUUGUUCAGACACCGAAUCCACAGGCUCAAAACCCCUGAUAAAACUUGAUUUUGUUCCAGAGGAGUGUGUUGGUGUCCGGGAUCGACAAUAAAACUUUCUGAUGUCUCAGACACCUUUUAUCUCUGAUGAAUGAAACCAGACCACUUUCCUCGGUCCACAUUCUGUAUGGGAGGAAAAGACAUGGUGAAGACACCGUUUGCCUCCUUUCCUGAGGCCCCAAGCUCGGGGCUGGAGAGCGUGUACCUACCUGGAGCUCAGUGUGUCAUUGAUGACUAAGUCAAGGAGUAGGCCUAGCGCUGAGGAGAUGAGCCUUCUUUUCUGCUGAACCGUCUUUCUGUUCAAUGGCCAGAAGACUCUGGCAUUUUCCUGACUCAGGAAUUGGCAACGCUUCUGACUCAGCAAGCCAAGCCCUCAUUUAUUUACUCUAAGGUAGCAUGUGCCAGGAAUACAUUCUAACCUUUAGAAGUUCUGUUAAUCCAGGUUCUGGCCAAAGCCACUACGUAGAAGAAUUCUCUUAUUAAGAUAAAACCCACUGAAACAUAAGAUCCAACAUAUGAAAUGUCUUUAAACUUCUGACACGGACUAGAUACUUGUUUUUUUGUUCCUCAUCUGAGGGAGAUUUUCUUCUUGCCUUAUGUGACUGGAGCAGCGGGGCACAUUCCUUGCAUCAGUGCCCCAGUUCAUUGUUUCGGGGCCCCCGAGAAACUGCGUUGGUCACCCAAGGGCCAGGGUGAGCGGGGUUGCUGCCAGGGGUGUUGCUGAGCACGUAUCAGGGAUUAGCAGGUGUCGGCCUGUGAGAUGUGUCUUUUAGUUGGUGAAUCACCCAGAAUUCAUCAAGGUAAAUGAGAGAUGAUACUUAUACUUACCUAAAGAGUAAAGAGAUUUAUUGACCAGUGGUUAGAUUGGCCAAAGACCCCUUAGGGAAGGUUCUAGAACUAGGUUUGGAAAGCAGGCAUAAACAAGAGAUGAGGCAUCCGCUGGGACCACAACCCUAAUCACACUCCAAUCAUACUCCCUAAUCAUACUUCUUGCUGGGUAACCAAAAAAGAAAAAUGUCUAUGAUGCUUGGCCACACGCUCUGCUGAUAUAUAUGCUCUUAGCAUGUCACCCGCGAUGUACCCAGGUACACGGGAACUUUCUGGUCGUCCUUGAUCCCUGGAACCAUGAUGCAUUGUACCUCCUCUUCUCUAAGCAGGAUACCCUUGGACCCCUUCUUUACUGUAGGCCCCGGGAUGAAUCUGGAAGAGAUGCUGGUUCAGUCUUGCUGCCGUUGCAUGCUCUGUUGGCUGUCCUCAGGACAGCAGCCCAGGCUCCUCCAGGGUGUUCUGGGUCAUGAUGCUUCUCCUGGCCAAUAUCUCCCCCUUUUCAGCCCAUAGCUGGUCUGUAGUCCCAUGAAGCAAAAGGGUGUAAGGAACAAGGCGCCUGGGCCCUUACUCCUUCUUCCUGGGGUCUCUGCUGCCACAGCACAAAUCCUUUCAAAACUCUGGCCCAUGUUGCCUUGUGUAUCACAAAGGGGUCAAUCCCUUGUCUGGGGUUUCAUUUUGAAAAGUUCCUAGUCAUUGCUUUUGGUUAGAUAACUAUCAAAUAACAUACUACGUUUUUCUGGCACUAUAGUUUUCAAACAUUUCCACAAUGAGGAGCUCAUUGUCUUAGCCUCCCUUUGAAAUAGCCAGGGCCAUUUUUAUCCCCAUCAUGGAGUUGAGCCACUGAGGCCCAAAGGGCCUGAGGUCACACAGCUGCUAAGGGGUAGGGUUGGCCUUGGUUCUAGUUUACCUUACCCCUCACUUGGUGCUCCAUGGACUGUUGUGCGGCUUCUAAUGACAAUGACAUGUGCUGCUAUUAUGACGCACUCACCCAAGAUCCGGCAUCAUUGCUGGCAGUCAUGCUUCCUGUGAAGUUUGCAGACCCUUGUCUGAGCUCUGUCUGGGCCCCAGGCCAGGCUGUGUGAGCCAGGUGCCCUCUAAGGAGGUGAGGUACCCUCACUAAGAAUGGUCUCUGCCUGCCGCUCUCACUCACUCCUGCUCCGGAAUUUUCUCGUCCCUGCUCGUCCUGGAUCUCUCAGAGGCAAGGCAAAAGCAGCUGAUGAAGUGGCCACAGUCCCCUAAGAGGAGGCCAAUGGGUGGAAUUCACAACAACCCCAGCCCUGAGGUUUGGAAGACAAACGACUUCUGUUUCAGACGAAUGGGAGUGUCAAGUUAUUCCAGCCCGAUGAGAUUACAGCUCAGAGGAUCACGAGGAAUCAAUUCCUCCAGAAGAGGAAAAAAACAGCUGGCACAGGAGCUCUGCAGGGCCUUUUGCUAAAGGGAGUUCUUCUUCCAUAAAAGGAGCCAACAAGAUUUUGAUCGCUUUCUUCAAUCUUUUUUGUUUUGUUUCAUUUUUAUAAAAAGAAGAGCAGCUUCUGCCCUGGAAUAAAACCUGAUCUGCAUUCUGACACAACACCCUUGGGCAGCCUGAGCACAUUCUGGAAUUACAGAAACAAACUCAUCUGAGAAACAAAAAAGUUCUAUUUAUCGUACCUGCAAGGAAAGUGCAAGUGCUCACUGAUGCCCAUGGUGGCCACCCUUGGGGAUCAGAAGGUGCCCUUGAAGACUGACCCAUUUGGGAGCCCCCAGACAGGUGCUCACCAUUAACUUUUUGGGAUUUCUCCCCCUCAGGGCAAUUCACUCCUUGGCUUUUAAGGUUGAAUAUGGGGUUCCCAAGUAGGAAUCUCACCUCCAUUUUGAGAGUCCUCUUGUCUCACCUUGAACCUCUCUGUUCCAUGAAGUUGGUGAAUGGCCUCCUUUGUUCUUAUGCUCAUCCUAGGCAUGAGUGCUAUUUACUCGUCUUCUCACACCCAGGGACUUUCUGUUCUUUUUUUUGCUUGGAGACUGGGUAGGGAAUGGAUAUGGGAGCACAGCAUGAUAUUUUCCCAUCGACUUGAGGGUGGAUGCGCCACCUAAUAACUUUGUGCCUCAGUUUCUUCAACAGCUCAACAUUACCAUGUGAAUUCUUGCUGCCUUUGUCUCUAUUGGGAAGAGUACUUUUGAAAUGAGGAAAUGUUGAUUAAAUCUAAGGGUGUGUGGUUGGUGGACUGCAUGCAUUAAUUCUACAAAAAAUUAUAGGAGUCCCACUGUGUAACUGGCGCUGUUUUAGGCACAAAAGGUAUAGGAGAUCACUAAAACAUGGUUGGGGUAGAGUUGGGGCACAGACAAGUAAAAGGAUUUGAUAUGUUUAGUGUAGUGCCUGGUACAGUUCAACAAAUGGUAGUCCUUGUUUCUAUCUUCCUCCUCUUCCUCCUUCUCCUUCUUGUCCUCCCUAACACACACUGUGCUAGGCCUGGGCAAACGAAGAGGAAGCUGUAAUUCCUUCGUGUAACUGGAUAAUCUGGAGGGAGAGAUAGACAUGCUAACUAGUCUGGAUGUGUAUGAGGUAGAACCUAGCAUACUUAUCAGUUAUUCCUCACAAAGUCCUUUCACAGGCUAGGAAACGCAGGCUUGUGCAGUCAUAUGAUUUCUUUCAGACAUGCAAAUAGUACAGAGAAAAAAAAAAGCCAAAAUUCAAACCCAGGGCAUGCUGAUGGCAAAGCCUGAGCCGUUCCAUCUUAGGGAGAGGUUGGUCAGUGUUUGUCAAAUGAAUAUUCAUUUGUGGGAUGCACAGGAAAAUGCCAGAACAGGUAGCACAGGACAGAGAAGAGAUGCUUAAAAGAUUAUAAAAGAAUAUCUGCAUUUUUUUGCUUCCUGCAGUGUGUGUGUAUCAGGGAAAAAGAGAGGAAACAGCAACCAAAGCCCAUCUUCUGUGAAUCAGUAGCAGAAAAAAGCAUAGACUCUGUCAAAGACUGCAGAUUUUGUAGAGUGUUAAAUUACCAGAUGAUGAUUUCAGAAUUGACAGCUGAAAACUGUUUCCGUCUAUUGGGAUGAUUUGGGUCUAUUGUCCUUGCUUUUGCCCUAUAUCCUACAGGAUAAUAACCUUUUCUUUUUUGUUCUCGAAUCAGGGAACAGAUUUGGGUGAGUGACAGGGAAGCGCGGAGGGGGGGAGACAGCUGAGAGGAAGGUGGAGCUGGUGGUUUCUUUCCUUUCUUAAGAAUAUUUGAUGAAAGCUUCGCACCCUCUGGCCAUCCGGUCUGUCCAGAGUCUCAUAAAAUGUGCUAGCACAUUGUGAAAUGAGUGCUUUUUCCCCCACACAGAAAAUCACAUUUUUUAAAACAUAUAAAAUAGGGGCAUUUGGGUGGCUCAGUCAAUUGAGCAUCUGACUCUUGAUUUUGGCUCAGGUCAUGAUUCCAGGGUUGUAGGAUCAAGCCUGCAUUGGGCUCUGCACUGAGAAUGGAGCCUGCCUGGAAUUCUCUCCCCCCAACCUCUCUCUCUCUCUCUCUCUCUCUCUCUCUCUCUCUCUCUCCCCCCCUCUGCCCCUCCCCUCUGCUAGUUCUCUCUCUCUCUCUCUCAUAAAAUAAAAUAAGACAAAAAUAAAAUAUAAAAUUACUACACAUUCACUGAAGCACAUAGAAAAGUAUAGAAGGGAGUGACCAUCAUUCAUUAUUCCAUCACUGCGUGAUGUACACAUACACUCGCCCACACAUAUUGUAUUACAAAAAGGGGAUCCUACUCAUGAUAGACACCUCUUGGGUACAUGUGCAAUCAUUUUUCUUACUCUGGGAACAUCCCAAUAAUCAGGGUUUACAUUAUUUGAUACACCAAACCUGCUUGACUUUGGUGUAGACAUCUGAUCCAAUCUAGACUAAUCUAGACCGACUCAGACAAUGUUCUUUGGAAUUUUUUUUUCUACUGAGAUCCCGGAAACUAUACUGGUUUCUGCCCUUUCCUCAUUCUUAGUUGGUUUAUUUUUUAAUCCAUGAAAAUUUCCAGCCUUUUUCCAGUGAAGGCAUGCUCUUCCCUUCCCUUCCUUUCUUUCUUUUUCUCCUUCUGUCUUUCUUAUUCUAGCCAGAAUCAAUUCCUCUUUACAACCUGAAGAACCUGAGUGAAUACAGAACUGACUGCUUUCUAAUCUUUUCUACUUAAUGAUGUAUCUUGGGCAUUUUCCCAGGUUAAUAAUUAGUCACAGACACAUGUAUAAUGGUUGCAUAAUAUUCCAGUGAAUAGAUGUACCACAGCAUCUAUAAGUAAAGGGAAACUGUUUUCAGCUGUCAAUGCUGAAUCCAUUGUCUGGUAAUUGAAACUUGGUGGG